UGACAACUCUGUCCGUUGUGUUGUUUGCUUUAGCAGAAAGACCACAGCUUUCGCCCGUCUCCCAUCUUCAAGAUGGCGGAGGCAGCUUCAACCUCACCUCUCGCGAGGAGUUCGCUCGUUGUCUCUGAUUAGCCGAAGGGGGGGGCGGCUUCGGAGGUGUAAUUUGCACAAACCCAGAUUCCAGGUGGUCGUCUUCUGAUGGAGAACAAGGACAAACGUGCAUUCCUUCUCAGAGGCAGAAGCACUUAAGAAUGUUGUUACCGUCGUGCCGUGUCCGGCGCUGUGCUGAAAAUUGCGAGCUGCUGUAAUGAGAUGGCUCAGAGGUUAAGAGCAUUGGCUGCUUUUCCAGAGGUCCUGAGUUCAAAUUCCCAGCAACCACAUGGUGGUUCACAGCCAUCUAUAAUGAGAACCGGUGCUCUCUUCUGGCAUGUAGUCAUACAUGCAGACAGAACAUUAUAUACAUAACAAAUAAAUCCUUUAAGAAAAAAAGAUGACAUUCUAACCGGAUGAUCUGGAACUUGUCAUAUAGAUCAGGCUAGCCUUGAAUUCAAAAAUGAUCCACCAGUGCCUCCCAGUUAAAGACCUGCACCAUCACAUCCAGGUCCCAUCAUUCUGAAAAGGUUGGUGAAAAUAAAACAAAUGUCCAUCAACAGUUCAAUGAAUAAAUGUGGCAUAGUCCACAAUCAGUAGCAAUCAAAAUAAUGAAGCUAUAGGCUGGCCAUGUAGCUCAGUUGGUAGUGCUAACCUUAUGUUUCAGAAAUGGGUAAAUGAAACUAUAGUCAGGAGUGGUUAUUUCAGAGGAAAGAUGCAAUUAACAGGGUGGUGGCCAGUUUGUAACUCAUUGAUGGUGCUGUAUGGCUAGCUACUAAUAGGCCUGAUAAAACGAGCUGGACACUCCCCUUAAUAACAAAAAGACUGGACCUGCAAGAUCAAUUACUGGCCAGAAGAAUGGGACUCAAGUCUUGUCUCUAGCCCUGAGAGCUGGUAUGACAUGCUGGUCUGCCUGUAGGUUAGUAAUGUCAUUAAGUCAACCUGGCUCCAGGAGCCUUAAAUCUUAAUGACUGUAUAGUACUUAGCUUUCUAAUGAAGAAUGAAGCUGUAUCCCUACUGUCAUGUAAGAGUCACACCAGCAGGCCUGUCAACUGCCUACACAAGACAAAGACCUCUGAAACCUUUUGGUUUAGAAAUUGAAUAAAUAUUAUCUGAACUAUAGACCAGUGCAAUGGUCCCUUUGGCCACUGUGCACUCUUAACCUCUUGAAACUGCACUAUUCUGUAAAAAGUACUCUGCAAUAAAGCACCAAUCUUUUAAUCUUCUA